rnacentral:rRNA from 1 species
GACGAACGCUGGCGGCGUGCUUAACACAUGCAAGUCGAACGGAAAGGCCCUGCUUUUGUGGGGUGCUCGAGUGGCGAACGGGUGAGUAACACGUGAGUAACCUGCCCUUGACUUUGGGAUAACUUCAGGAAACUGGGGCUAAUACCGGAUAGGAGCUCCUGCUGCAUGGUGGGGGUUGGAAAGUUUCGGCGGUUGGGGAUGGACUCGCGGCUUAUCAGCUUGUUGGUGGGGUAGUGGCUUACCAAGGCUUUGACGGGUAGCCGGCCUGGGAGGGUGACCGCCCACAUUGGGACUGAGAUACGGCCCAGACUCCUACAGGGGGCAGCAGUGGGGAAUAUUGCACAAUGGGCGGAAGCCUGAUGCAGCAACGCCGCGUGCGGGAUGACGGCCUUCGGGUUGUAAACCGCUUUCGCCUGUGACGAAGCGUGAGUGACGGUAAUGGGUAAAGAAGCACCGGCUAACUACGUG